rnacentral:rRNA from 1 species
CCUACGGGUGGCAGCAGUGGGGAAUAUUGGACAAUGGGCGAAAGCCUGAUCCAGCCAUGCCGCGUGUGUGAAGAAGGCCUUCGGGUUGUAAAGCACUUUCAGUGGGGAAGAAAGCCUUGGGGCUAAUACCCUCGAGGAAGGACAUCACCCACAGAAGAAGCACCGGCUAACUCCGUGCCAGCAGCCGCGGUAAUACGGAGGGUGCGAGCGUUAAUCGGAAUUACUGGGCGUAAAGCGCGCGUAGGCGGUCUGAUAAGCCGGUUGUGAAAGCCCCGGGCUCAACCUGGGAACGGCAUCCGGAACUGUCAGGCUAGAGUGCAGGAGAGGAAGGUAGAAUUCCCGGUGUAGCGGUGAAAUGCGUAGAGAUCGGGAGGAAUACCAGUGGCGAAGGCGGCCUGCUGGACUGACACUGACGCUGAGGUGCGAAAGCGUGGGUAGCAAACAGGAUUAGAUACCCGAGUAGUC